rnacentral:rRNA from 1 species
GGGUUGUGAGGUUAAGCGACUAAGCGUACACGGUGGAUGCCCUGGCAGUCAGAGGCGAUGAAGGACGUGCUAAUCUGCGAAAAGCGUCGGUAAGGUGAUAUGAACCGUUAUAACCGGCGAUGUCCGAAUGGGGAAACCCAGUGCAAUUCGUUGCACUAUCGUUAACUGAAUACAUAGGUUAACGAGGCGAACCGGGGGAACUGAAACAUCUAAGUACCCCGAGGAAAAGAAAUCAACCGAGAUUCCCCCAGUAGCGGCGAGCGAACGGGGAGCAGCCCAGAGUCUGAAUCAGCUUGUGUGUUAGUGGAACGGUCUGGAAAGUCCGACGGUACAGGGUGAUAGUCCCGUACACCAAAAUGCACAGGUUGUGAACUCGAAGAGUAGGGCGGGACACGUGGUAUCCUGUCUGAAUAUGGGGGGACCAUCCUCCAAGGCUAAAUACUCCUGACUGACCGAUAGUGAACCAGUACCGUGAGGGAAAGGCGAAAAGAACCCCGGCGAGGGGAGUGAAAAAGAACCUGAAACCGUGUACGUACAAGCAGUGGGAGCACCUUUAUGGUGUGACUGCGUACCUUUUGUAUAAUGGGUCAGCGACUUAUAUUCUGUAGCAAGGUUAACCGUAUAGGGGAGCCGCAGGGAAACCGAGUCUUAACUGGGCGUUAAGUUGCAGGGUAUAGACCCGAAACCCGGUGAUCUAGCCAUGGGCAGGUUGAAGGUUGGGUAACACUAACUGGAGGACCGAACCGACUAAUGUUGAAAAAUUAGCGGAUGACUUGUGGCUGGGGGUGAAAGGCCAAUCAAACCGGGAGAUAGCUGGUUCUCCCCGAAAGCUAUUUAGGUAGCGCCUCGUGAACUCAUCUUCGGGGGUAGAGCACUGUUUCGGCUAGGGGGUCAUCCCGACUUACCAACCCGAUGCAAACUACGAAUACCGAAGAAUGUUAUCACGGGAGACACACGGCGGGUGCUAACGUCCGUCGUGAAGAGGGAAACAACCCAGACCGCCAGCUAAGGUCCCAAAGUCAUGGUUAAGUGGGAAACGAUGUGGGAAGGCACAGACAGCCAGGAUGUUGGCUUAGAAGCAGCCAUCAUUUAAAGAAAGCGUAAUAGCUCACUGGUCGAGUCGGCCUGCGCGGAAGAUGUAACGGGGCUAAACCAUGCACCGAAGCUGCGGCAGCGACACUAUGUGUUGUUGGGUAGGGGAGCGUUCUGUAAGCCUGCGAAGGUGUGCUGUGAGGCAUGCUGGAGGUAUCAGAAGUGCGAAUGCUGACAUAAGUAACGAUAAAGCGGGUGAAAAGCCCGCUCGCCGGAAGACCAAGGGUUCCUGUCCAACGUUAAUCGGGGCAGGGUGAGUCGACCCCUAAGGCGAGGCCGAAAGGCGUAGUCGAUGGGAAACAGGUUAAUAUUCCUGUACUUGGUGUUACUGCGAAGGGGGGACGGAGAAGGCUAUGUUAGCCGGGCGACGGUUGUCCCGGUUUAAGCAUGUAGGCUGGUUAUCCAGGCAAAUCCGGAUAAUCAAGGCUGAGGUGUGAUGACGAGGCACUACGGUGCUGAAGUAACAAAUGCCCUGCUUCCAGGAAAAGCCUCUAAGCAUCAGGUAACAUCAAAUCGUACCCCAAACCGACACAGGUGGUCAGGUAGAGAAUACCAAGGCGCUUGAGAGAACUCGGGUGAAGGAACUAGGCAAAAUGGUGCCGUAACUUCGGGAGAAGGCACGCUGGUGUGUAGGUGAAGUCCCUGCGGAUGGAGCUGAGACCAGUCGAAGAUACCAGCUGGCUGCAACUGUUUAUUAAAAACACAGCACUGUGCAAACACGAAAGUGGACGUAUACGGUGUGACGCCUGCCCGGUGCCGGAAGGUUAAUUGAUGGGGUUAUCCGUAAGGAGAAGCUCUUGAUCGAAGCCCCGGUAAACGGCGGCCGUAACUAUAACGGUCCUAAGGUAGCGAAAUUCCUUGUCGGGUAAGUUCCGACCUGCACGAAUGGCGUAAUGAUGGCCAGGCUGUCUCCACCCGAGACUCAGUGAAAUUGAACUCGCUGUGAAGAUGCAGUGUACCCGCGGCAAGACGGAAAGACCCCGUGAACCUUUACUAUAGCUUGACACUGAACAUUGAGCCUUGAUGUGUAGGAUAGGUGGGAGGCUUUGAAGCGUGGACGCCAGUCUGCGUGGAGCCAACCUUGAAAUACCACCCUUUAAUGUUUGAUGUUCUAACGUUGGCCCCUUACCGGGGUUGCGGACAGUGUCUGGUGGGUAGUUUGACUGGGGCGGUCUCCUCCCAAAGCGUAACGGAGGAGCACGAAGGUUAGCUAAUCCUGGUCGGACAUCAGGAGGUUAGUGCAAUGGCAUAAGCUAGCUUGACUGCGAGCGUGACGGCGCGAGCAGGUGCGAAAGCAGGUCAUAGUGAUCCGGUGGUUCUGAAUGGAAGGGCCAUCGCUCAACGGAUAAAAGGUACUCCGGGGAUAACAGGCUGAUACCGCCCAAGAGUUCAUAUCGACGGCGGUGUUUGGCACCUCGAUGUCGGCUCAUCACAUCCUGGGGCUGAAGUAGGUCCCAAGGGUAUGGCUGUUCGCCAUUUAAAGUGGUACGCGAGCUGGGUUUAGAACGUCGUGAGACAGUUCGGUCCCUAUCUGCCGUGGGCGCUGGAGAAUUGAGGGGGGCUGCUCCUAGUACGAGAGGACCGGAGUGGACGCAUCACUGGUGUUCGGGUUGUCAUGCCAAUGGCACUGCCCGGUAGCUAAAUGCGGAAGAGAUAAGUGCUGAAAGCAUCUAAGCACGAAACUUGCCCCGAGAUGAGUUCUCCCUGAGACUUUAAGUCUCCUGAAGGAACGUUAAAGACGAUGACGUUGAUAGGCCGGGUGUGUAAGCGCAGCGAUGCGUUGAGCUAACCGGUACUAAUGAACCGUGAGGCUUAACCUUACAACGCCGAAG